GGGCUCACACAAGCGGUGGAGGAUGUGGCUUAAUUCGAGGCUACGCGAAGAACCUUAUCCUAGUCUUGACAUGCACGGAUUAACUCCCUGAAAGGGGAGCCACACCCGCAAGGGUGGAACGUGCACAGGUGCUGCAUGGCUGUCGUCAGCUCGUGUCGUGAGAUGUCGGGUUAAGUCCCUUAACGAGCGAAACCCUUGUCGCUAGUUGCCAGCGGGUCAUGCCGGGGACUCUAGCGAGACUGCCGGUGUUAAACCGGAGGAAGGUGGGGAUGACGUCAAGUCCUCAUGGCCUUUAUGACUAGGGCUGCACACGUCCUACAAUGCUGCGUACAAAGGGACGCGAACCCGCGAGGGCGAGCAAAUCCCAAAAAUCGCAGCCCAGUUCGGAUUGCAGGCUGCAACCCGCCUGCAUGAAGCCGGAAUCGCUAGUAAUCGCGGGUCAGCAUACCGCGGUGAAUGUGUUCCUGAGCCUU
rnacentral:rRNA from 1 species